rnacentral:miRNA from 1 species
CUCUACUUUGACAUAGCCCACU